AUAGUUAAAACUUCCAACAACGGAUCUCUUGGUUCUGGCAUCGAUGAAGAACGCAGCGAAAUGCGAUAAGUAAUGUGAAUUGCAGAAUUCAGUGAAUCAUCGAAUCUUUGAACGCACAUUGCGCCCAGUGGUAUUCCGCUGGGCAUGCUUGUCCGAACGU
rnacentral:rRNA from 1 species